rnacentral:lncRNA from 1 species
UGAUAAGAUAUUCCCGAUCUGCUAUUGAAGCUGUACAGAGUAGUAUCAAAAGAUAAAAUGGAUAACUUCAGAAACCUCGAGAGGUGUACAGGGUUGUUUGUUUGCAUUGAAAUGAAAUCAUCGGCAGCAGCGUAAUUGCAAAGAGGGGCAACAACCAAUUCCCAAGAACUCCCAACCUCCAUGCCCCAAAUUACACUAGCCUCAAUCCAAGGAUCUUCACUACUCCCCCAAGGGAUUAGCAAUUUAGGGUUCAUUCCAAAAAACCCCCUAUGGGGAAAUGAAAUUUGCUGGUACGGCUCUUGGUGGCGUUGAGUUUGGUCCUACUACUUCCUCUAAUCCAAACUGGGCUUCUUCCAUUUUCUUCUCUCUUGUAGUUUCUCUGAUACUCUGCCUUUUUUUAGGUUUAUACAAUAAGAAGAAGAAGAUGCAUAUUGAACUUCC